GCGAGCCAGUGAACGAUACGCUGAUUCGUCAGAGGAAACUUCUCCCCCCUUGCAGGCAAUGUGGUCUGGUGACAGAUUGUCAGAGAUGACAGGCAACGGAAUAGAAACAAAUCCUAUCUGGAGUGUACUGUGAUGGCAAAACCUGAGAUUUCCAGAAACGGAAUGAAAAAUCUGUCCCACAUGGAGCAAGGCCAAACAGAACUAUAGGUGCCUGCACCUGGUUCAGGUAGGCUGCAAAGCGAAAUAUCGUUAAAACAGAAGGAGAGUUACUACUGGCACGC
rnacentral:RNase_P_RNA from 1 species